rnacentral:rRNA from 1 species
UACGUAGGGUGCAAGCGUUAAUCGGAAUUACUGGGCGUAAAGGGCUCGUAGGCGGCCAACUAAGUCAGACGUGAAAUCCCUCGGCUUAACCGGGGAACUGCAUCUGAUACUGGAUGGCUUGAGGUUGGGAGAGGGAUGCGGAAUUCCAGGUGUAGCGGUGAAAUGCGUAGAUAUCUGGAGGAACACCGGUGGCGAAGGCGGCAUCCUGGACCAAUUCUGACGCUGAGUGAGCGAAAGCCAGGGGAGCAAACGGG